UACGUAGGGUGCAAGCGUUAAUCGGAAUACUGGGCGUAAAGCGUGCGCAGGCGGUGAUGUAAGACAGAUGUGAAAUCCCCGGGCUCAACCUGGGAACUGCAUUUGUGACUGCAUCGCUGGAGUACGGCAGAGGGGGGGAUGGAAUUCCGCGUGUAGCAGUGAAAUGCGUAGAUAUGCGGAGGAACACCGAUGGCGAAGGCAAUCCCCUGGGCCUGUACUGACGCUCAUGCACGAAAGCGU
rnacentral:rRNA from 1 species